AGGAAUAUUACUACACCAAGGAGGAGCAG
rnacentral:piRNA from 1 species